GUGGAGUUGGCACAUUGUUUAAAGGUUUGAUUUCUAAGAGAUAUUUUAACUUAGAAGACUUAAACAGAGCAAUUCUGCACUUUCCAUACCAACAUUCUGACAAAGUUAAUCGCCCUCAUCCAAUAACCUCAAAUUUUGCCAGGCGAGGGACCAUGGCCAGCACUCUUUCAUGAGACACAGCUCUACUUUGAAUUUCAUCGGAUCACCAAUCAGAAUCUGCCACAUGUGUUUUAUGCUGCGCUGGAUGAUUAUGCUCCUCAGCUGACUGGACUUUACAAAAAGAGGAAAACUGGACGGGUCGGUGAAAGGAUGGAGCAGCUUUUGUCGGCAUAUGGAAAACAGGGUGAAAUUGAGUUCUAUGAAGCCAUAGAAUUGCUCUGGUUGCUGAUGUCGAUGAAGAGGAGGUGCCUGGAGGAGUUCCUUUCUCACCACGCCAAGUGUUCAUAGAACUUGAAGAUCAGUUUGUUAUGACUCAUCACUCAUGGACUGAUGCCCUGGUGUCUUUGUUUGGGCUAAUCUAUGCUCUGCAUCUGAGCUAUCCUAUGAAGUAUACUGGCUUUUUUGAGUUCAUUCAAGUAGUGUUGCUGAAGCUAGACGAUGAGAGAAAGCAACUAAAACCAAAAUUGCAGACACUAAAAAAUGAGCUUGUGCAGAUGAUGUUUGUUUUUCACUGGUCACUA